rnacentral:rRNA from 1 species
CCUACGGGAGGCUGCAGUGAGGAAUAUUGGUCAAUGGACGCAAGUCUGAACCAGCCAUGCCGCGUGCAGGAAGACGGCUCUAUGAGUUGUAAACUGCUUUUGUACGAGGGUAAACGCAGAUACGCGUAUCUGUCUGACAGUAUCGUACGAAUCAGGAACGGCUAACUCCGUGCCAGCAGCCGGGAUAAUACGGAGGAUUCAAGCGUUAUCCGGAUUUAUUGGGUUUAAAGGGUGCGUAGGCGGUCGGAUAAGUUAGAGGUGAAAUCCCGGGGCUCAACUUUGGAAUUGCCUCUGAUACUGUGCGGCUAGAGAGUAGUUGCGGUAGGCGGAAUGUAUGGUGUAGCGGUGAAAUGCUUAGAGAUCAUACAGAACACCGAUGGCGAAGGCAGCUUACCAAGCUACUUCUGACGUUGAGGCACGAAAGCGUGGGGAGCAAACAGGAUUAGAUACCCGAGUAGUC